CGCGUCCUCUGGGGACACCGAGUCACCUGACCUCCAUUAACCAUUGACUGGCAGAUGACUGACAGAUGUGAACAGUCCUGUCACAGGCUGCGAUAAACAUCAGGACGCGUCUCCUCACGGGUUCAUUGAUCAGAUCAAUAAAUGAUAUUAGGAGAGAGAGAGGGAGAGAGAGAGAGAGAGAGAGAGAGAGAGAGAGAGAGAGAGGAGCAGCUGGGGGCUUUUAUUUUGAAGGUGCUGUACGGAAGCUGUGUGUGUGUGUCUCUGUGUGUGUGUGUGUGUCUGUGUGUGUGUGUGUGUGUGUGUGUGUGUGUGUGUGUGUGUGUGUGUCCUCAGUCUGACAGUCUGCGUCCGCACAGAAGCAGCGCAGCUUCAUUUUUGCGGAUUCUCUGAUGCUGCUGUAGAAAGCUCCUGGAAUCCGACAAGAACCAGACGGAGGAGUCCGAACCGAGCCGAACCGAGCCGAAAAGGAAAGAUUUAAACGGAGACAGACAGGCGCCUUCAUCUCUUCCUGCCCAACCGAGCGGAGUCUUCCUCACCGAGAUGCAGCGUGGAGGUUCUGCUCCAGGAUCAGCGUGACGCCCACAGAGAUCCAACAUGGCUUCAUCAGUGCUAACGUGUGUGUGUGUCCUGCUGCUGCCUGCUGUCACAGGUUUUCAGUCCGAGGAUGCAGAGCACAGACUGUGUGCCUUCACCAACAGCCCGCGGGGGGCGGGGUCUGUGCCUACCAAUGAGCUGCGUGGAGUGGUGCAGGAGAACGGUACAAUCCGCUGCAGCCGCGGCUCCCGCUGCUAUGGAUUGUGGGAAAAAAGAGCAGACGGAGAAAUGCAGCUGCUGAAUCAGGGUGAGCUCAGAGUCUGGUUUCCUGGGUAAACCUGGUCCCAGGCAGCCAUAGGCACAACUGA
rnacentral:lncRNA from 1 species